GCAUAUCAAUAAGCGGAGGAAAAGAAACCAACAGGGAUUGCCCUAGUAACGGCGAGUGAAGCGGCAACAGCUCAAAUUUGAAAUCUGGCUCUCGGGCCCGAGUUGUAAUUUGUAGAGGAAGCUUCUGGUGCGGUACCGUCCGAGUCCCCUGGAACGGGGCGCCAUAGAGGGUGAGAGCCCCGUAUGGACGGAUGCCAAACCUGUGUGAAGCUCCUUCGACGAGUCGAGUUGUUUGGGAAU
rnacentral:rRNA from 1 species